rnacentral:rRNA from 1 species
GGCACUGCCUGCCCGGUGACUUAAAAGUUAAACGGCCGCGGUAUCCUGACCGUGCAAAGGUAGCAUAAUCACUUGUUCUUUAAAUAAGGACCUGUAUGAAUGGCUAGACGAGGGUUUUACUGUCUCUUGCUUUUAGUCAGUGAAAUUGACCUUCCCGUGAAGAGGCGGGAAUAACAUAAUAAGACGAGAAGACCCUAUGGAGCUUUAACACUCCUACACACUUUUCAAACAUAAUCUUAAAAACAAAACAAAUAUUGUGUAGAAUGUUUCGGUUGGGGUGACCUCGGAGAAUAAAAAAACCUCCGAAUGAUCUUAGUUUAGAUUUACAAAUCAAUCCUUCUAUCAUAUUAUUGAUCCAAUAACAUUGAACAAUGGACCAAGUUACCCUAGGGAUAACAGCGCAAUCCUAUUUAAGAGUCCAUAUCGACAAUAGGGUUUACGACCUCGAUGUUGGAUCAGGACAUCCCAAUGGUGCAGCCGCUAUUAAA